GCGGAUCUCUGGCUGGCUGUCGGACAGUACGCUCAACGGUGUCUGGUGCCGUCUUGCGCGCGCACCGGUACCGGUCAGCGACGAAUUCUUCGGGCCUCUUUCCGACCCGUCUUGAAACACGGACCAAGGAGUCUAACAUGCGCGCGAGUCGCGGGGUGUCGAGCGUACUUCGGUGCGUUCGUUACGUUGCGAAACCCGUACAUGUCGAAGGCGUAAUGAAAGUGAAUGGGGAAGAUGGUGUUCCGAGUACACGUUCCGCGAUCGUUGGUAUCGCGGCCGGACACCCGCAUUCCCGGGGCGUCUCAACGGCCCGUCGCUGAUGCGGACGGUCGUCUCUCGGGGCGGUCGUCGGUCGGCGAUGAACCGAGGCGCACCUAUAGCGUGCACGUUGGUACCCGAAAGAUGGUGAACUAUGCCUGGCCAGGAUGAAGUCAGGGGAAACCCUGAUGGAGGUCCGCAGCGAUUCUGACGUGCAAAUCGAUCGUCUGAGCU
rnacentral:rRNA from 1 species